CAGUUAUUGCUAGAAAAUGACACCAAGGCUAGCAAAGACCUCUGAAAUUCACAGACAUUCAGAAACCCAAUUCCGUCAACUAUUUGAACCAAAUGAAUUAACCCAGAUAAAGGGAAUUAAACUUGAUUUUUCCCUUCCUCCCAACUGACUAAAACAGGUGUCAAAGAGAGGCAACAGCAGAAAAGUGGUAGGGGGCAGAAGAGGGAGGGGUUUAAAAGGUGCUCAGUUAGACUGUGGCUCUGAAUCACAGUAAAACUGGCUGUUCUGGGUACUGAGUUACUUAAGAAAUAACUGACACUAUUCUAAUCCACAGGGACAUAAUGAAAGCAUCACAUUAGUAGAAUGAGGGGACAGCUGAGCAGACACCAGAAACCACACCAAGGAUUCUACUCGAGAUCUCAAUGUGGGAUUCAGGUCUUAGCAACCAAAAUCUGAAAACGCUCCUAAAGGGGAUGAAAAGCCAUUUGGACAUCCAUGACAGUUCCUGGAGGUGAAGUAUUACAGGACAUGAACGGCAAAUGAAAACCUUCAUUAGGAGAAAGCCUAGGACAAAUAAUAGGGACAGAGCAACUCAACACCAUUAGUAAAGGACAAUUCAGAAUCACCAAUUCCACUGGACAAAGCGUCAACACAGAACUACUACACCUGAAGGCUGGGACCAUGCUCUUUGUCCAAUACUGCAACUAGAGAAACCAGAUAUUCUAAUCUCUCUUGAUUCUUCCAAUGUUCUCUGGCCCACCUACGUGUACUUAAGAGAUUUUGGCUAGCAAGGCAGAAAAAAGUGACACAAAAGUUUUAUGAUCAGUAACACUCCAUGUCUCCAGAAUUAUAUCCCUAGGAGGUGGAAUGCCAAAAAACAUUUCUGUUUUGAACACCAUGAUACACAGCAGAAGGAGGGGGAAAAAACAUGUAGAUAUUGCCCUUCGGCUUAAAAUCCAGUCCUGCUCAAAUGACAUCACUUAAAAUACCCUUGAUGGAGCUCAAAAAGCUGGUCCUUUCUUCCAAGAUGGAUGCCUGGAACAAUGAUUCCUUCCCAAUAAUCCUAGUGCAGUGUCAUUUGUACAGUGGUUUCCUAAAGAGGUCCUGGUGCAGAGAUGUCAGCAGUAUUUCUGUCAGCAACCAGAAAAAAAAAAAAACAAAAACUGAGUAAAACACACGCUUUGCACAACAAAAAAAUACCCAUGUCCACAUUCAUGGCUUACAGUGCAGCUCUGGCUGAGUGAUUCAGGUUCCUGAGAUCCCAUCUUACAAUGCAGCUCUGGCUUACCAAAAGUAUCUAAUGGCCCA
rnacentral:lncRNA from 1 species